GAGAGAGACAUGCGCGCAUAUCAAUAAGCGGAGGAAAAGAAGCUAACAAGGAUUCCCUUAGUAACGGCGAGUGAAGCGGGAAGAGCUCAAAUUUGAAAUCUUCAAGGUUUUACCUUGACGAAUUGUAGUUUAAAGAAGUGUUUUCUGCUGAAGUUUUGGUAAAAGUUCUUUGGAAUAGGACAUCAUAGAGGGUGAGAAUCCCGUAUUUGACCAUUAUUUCCAGCUUUGUGAUACACUUUCAAAGAGUCGGAUUGUUUGGGGAUGCAGUCCAAAAUGGGUGGUAAAUUUCAUCUAAAGCUAAAUAUUGGCGAGAGACCGAUAGCGAACAAGUACCGAUGAGGGAAAGAUGAAAAGAACUUUGAAAAGGAGAGUUAAACAGUACGUGAAAUUGUCAAAAGGGAAGCGUUUGACACCAGUGUUGUUUUCUCGAAAAUCAAUUAAAAAUGGCUCGAUUUUGUAUUGCUUGAGACCUUAAAAGCUCACUGUACAUUUUUCGUGUCUUUUUUAAUGCACUUUUCGUUUAACAAGUCAACAUCAGUUUCUUUUGUUGUAAAAGGGUCAUUGGAAGGUGGCUUUCUUUUCGGAGAAAGUGUUUAUAGCCUUUGGCCUCUGCAAUCGGAGAGGCUGAGGUCUGCAGCGUAGACUCUUCGGGGUUAGAUACAUUUGUGCUAAGUUAUAGCUUUUUAUAGACAACUUGUUGACUAUAAUUAGUCUUGUAGCUUACUCGCUUAUGCUAUUUUACCUACGCUAGGAUGUUGAGUCGUAGAGCACGCAG
rnacentral:rRNA from 1 species